AAGCCGAAGACGGGUAGGGGCGGUGAGAGCCGCGAGCCCCGAGAUCGGCACUGAGACAAGGGCCGAGGCCCUACGGGGUGCAGCAGGCGCGAAUACUCCGCAAUGCGGGCAACCGCGACGGGGCUACCCCGAGUGCCGGGCGAAGAGCCCGGCUUUUGCCCGGUCUAAAAAGCCGGGAGAAUAAGCGGGGGGCAAGUCUGGUGUCAGCCGCCGCGGUAAUACCAGCUCCGCGAGUGGUCGGGGUGUUUACUGGGCUUAAAGCGCCCGUAGCCGGCCCGGCAAGUCGCUCCUGAAAUCCCAGGGCUCAACCCUGGGGCGGGGGGCGAUACUGCCGGGCUAGGGGGCGGAAGAGGCCGCCGGUACUCCGGGGGUAGGGGCGAAAUCCGUUAAUCCCCGGAGGACCACCAGUGGCGGAAGCGGGCGGCCAGAACGCGCCCGACGGUGAGGGGCGAAAGCCGGGGGAGCAAACCGGGCUCAGGUCGGCGUUGCGCAGACGAUCAUCCUCCUACUACGCGCGCCAACCCUCUCUACCAAGCCGACCUGGCCCGGGCUCAAAGGGGAUUAGGUACCCCUGUAGUCCCGGCCGUAAACGAUGCGGGCUAGCUGUCGGCUGGGCUUAGGGCCCGGCCGGUGGCGAAGGGAAACCGUUAAGCCCGCCGCCUGGGGGGUACGGCCGCAAGGCUGAAACUUAAAGGAAUUGGCGGGGGGGCACCACAAGGGGUGAAGCUUGCGGCUUAAUUGGAUUCAACGCCGGAA
rnacentral:rRNA from 1 species